rnacentral:lncRNA from 1 species
GUACGUUUCGUUUUCUUUCCUUUCCGUUAGUGCCGCUCUUUGUUUGGUGGUUCCAGGAAAAUUUCCUGGAAAAUAUCAGUGAAAAUUUUACGUUUAAUGUUUUCCGCUUGAUCUUUUGUUGUCUCUAAUCUGGCAGUCGCGGAGGGAGUAUUGACCUGUGUUUAUGGAUUAUGUUUAUCAGGUUUCUUCAUAAAUAAAACGCUGAGUUAGGGUUUAUGUUUGUGUGUAAAUCAAUUUAAUGCACGUUUAGAAUGUGCCAAAUUAGACCUGAAAAUUGCAGAGAAAGGAAAAAAUGGCAACUAUUGGUGUGAAUUUUGAUCUCAAUAAAUGCAAGUGCUGUUUUAUAAAAGCUAAGUGGUUGCUGUAAGUAUGCUGAAGAGAUGUUGUUUGGAUUGCUGUGUUUUAUGCGUUCAUAUGAUAGAGUAUGUGCUUUGGAACUUUAAAACGUCAUUGUUCUACUUACUUCUCAGCAUCUGCUAUGAGAGAAAAAAAAAGAAGCAAAAGCAAAUUGAACAAAGAAGAUUCGACAUGCGAAGUCUC